CUACGGGUGGCAGCAGUGGGGAAUAUUGGACAAUGGGCGCAAGCCUGAUCCAGCAAUGCCGCGUGAGUGAAGACGGCCUUAGGGUUGUAAAACUCUUUCGCUAGGGAAGAUAAUGACUGUACCUAGUAAAGAAGUCCCGGCUAACUCCGUGCCAGCAGCCGCGGUAAUACGGAGGGGACUAGCGUUGUUCGGAAUUACUGGGCGUAAAGAGUUCGUAGGCGGACUGACAAGUUAGAGGUGAAAUCCCAGGGCUCAACCCUGGAACUGCCUUUAAAACUGUCAGUCUAGAGACCGGAAGAGGUUAGGGGAAUACCUAGUGUAGAGGUGAAAUUCGUAGAUAUUAGGUGGAACACCAGUGGCGAAGGCGCCUAACUGGUCCGGUACUGACGCUGAGGAACGAAAGCGUGGGGAGCAAACAGGAUUAGAUACCCGAGUAGUC
rnacentral:rRNA from 1 species